ACUCAGGAAAAUCUUUGAAAUUGUGUUAUGUUGUGUUUAUAUAAUUGCAUUCCAACCUGAAGAUCAGGAUUGGUUGAUUGAUUGAGGCGGGUGUAGUAACGAGCUGGAGGAAAAGUGUGACACUAAUCAGGCCCCAGAGGAAGACUCAGUCUCAGUCCCCCCCUACAUCUUCUGGUUGGGAGUUACCCAUCCCUGAGAUAAAGACUCAGUCCCCCCCUACAUCUUCUGUUAGGGAGUUACCCAUCCCUGAGAUAAAGACUCAGUCCCCCCCUACAUCUUCUGUUAGGGAGAUGGGAGAUACCCGUCCCUGAGAUAAAGACUCUUACAUCUUCUGUUAGGGAGAUACCCAUCCCUGAGAUAAAGACUCAGUCCCCCUUACAUCUUCUGUUAGGGAGAUACCCAUCCCUGAGAUAAAGACUCAGUCCCCCCUACAUCUUCUGUUAGGGAGAUGGGAGAUACCCAUCCC
rnacentral:lncRNA from 13 species